rnacentral:rRNA from 1 species
UACGGAGAGGGCAAGCGUUGUUCGGAUUUACUGGGCUUAAAGGGCACGUAGGCGGGUCCUCAAGUCGGUUGUGAAAGCCCGGAGCUCAACUCCGGAAUUGCUUCCGAUACUGUGGGUCUUGAGAACGAGAGGGGAGAGUGGAACUUCUGGUGGAGCGGUGAAAUGCGUAGAUAUCAGAAGGAACACCGGUGGCGAAAGCGACUCUCUGGCUCGUUGCUGACGAUAAGGUGCGAAAGCUAGGGGAGCAAACGGG